rnacentral:misc_RNA from 1 species
CUCGCUGUCCCACCUCCUGCCGCCGCAGCCAGCGCCCACUCCCGCCCGCGCCCCCCUCAUGGCGCCGCCUCCUCCGCCGCCGCCGCUACCGCCGAUGGCGAUACCCUCCGCCUCCACCGCAUCCGGCCACCGCCACGCACGGGAGAGGGAGGGACGCCGCCUCUACGCGCGCUGGAGAGGGAUGGGGCGCCGUCGCCGUCACACGUGGUGGAGAGAUUGGGGCGCCGCCGUGUGCGGGCAGGGAAGGGGCGGUCUUGGUGAGAGGUGUGGAGCGGAGGAGUUUGUUGCGGCGGGGCGAGGCAUGGAGCCUUCCCAAGAAGCGG